ACGUGGCACGCUGCGAAAAGCCAUGGGG
rnacentral:rRNA from 2 species